UGGCUCAGAGGUUAAAGCGUCUGCCUGAAAUGCAGGAGACCUGGGUUCGAUCCCAG
rnacentral:tRNA from 1 species